rnacentral:rRNA from 1 species
GAUCAUGGCUCAGGAUGAACGCUAGCUACAGGCUUAACACAUGCAAGUCGAGGGGCAUCAGUUUGGUUUGCUUGCAAACCAAAGCUGGCGACCGGCGCACGGGUGAGUAACACGUAUCCAACCUGCCUCAUACUCGGGGAUAGCCUUUCGAAAGAAAGAUUAAUAUCCGAUAGCAUAUAUUUCCCGCAUGGGUUUUUAUAUUAAAGAAAUUCGGUAUGAGAUGGGGAUGCGUUCCAUUUAG